ACACACACACUCUGCAUUAUAUACACACUCUGCAUUAUAUACACAGAGUGUGUGUAUAUAAUGCAGAGUGUGUGUUU